rnacentral:rRNA from 1 species
UACAGAGGGUGCGAGCGUUGUCCGGAAUUAUUGGGCGUAAAGAGCUUGUAGGCGGUUUGUCGCGUCUGCCGUGAAAAUUCGAGGCUCAACCUCGAACUUGCGGUGGGUACGGGCAGACUAGAGUGUGGUAGGGGAGACUGGAAUUCCUGGUGUAGCGGUGAAAUGCGCAGAUAUCAGGAGGAACACCCGUGGCUAAGGCGGCUCUCUAGUACGGUACUGACGCUGAGACGCGAAAGCGUGGGGAGCGAACAGG